CCAGCCAAGCCUCUCGCAGAAGCUCAAACCGGCUGGG
rnacentral:sRNA from 12 species